UCUUGCGGAUCAUCUGGAAAAGGGACAGAGGUGGCCGCUUGGUGCGGCUCAUAAACAACCUCUUCAGCACAAGCUGGUUGAAUGUGGAGUUGGUUCGUCUGGCCAGAAACCUGUACAGCUUGACCAACAGCCUCAGCCAUGUAAGAUGUGCCUGCCUCCUCCUCGCCUUCUGGCAUGGCUGUAAGUUUUCUGAAGCCUCCCAGCCAUGUGUCCUGUAAAGCCUGUGGAACUGAAAAUUCCCUGUGAUAGAGCAACUUGAAUGAAAAGAAGAAUAAACAGGUGGCCAACAAUAAGAUUUCCAAGAUAGGAAGAAAGAGAGGGCUCAAAAUGAAGGAUGCUCAAUUCUAUCAUUCCUAAUUUGAGUCCAAACCACAUAAAUGAAAGUCUUCGCUGUCAUGGGGAAUAGAAGGAAGGAAAGAAAGAAAAAAAUGAUGGAAGAAGAGCCAAUCACUAGUCUUGCACUGUCACCCAGGCUGAAGUGUAAUGGUGUGAUCUCGGCUCACUGCAACCUCUGCCUCCCAGGUUCAAGUAAUUCUCCUGCUUCAGCCUCCCGAGUAGCUGUGAUUACAGGUAUACUUGUCAUGUUCUUGUUUAACUGGAAAUAUGGCUGGCAUACACUCCUUUUAAUAACUGUUAGUUCUGCAUGGCUGAACCUAAAUAUCAAACAUGAUUGGAAAGAG